rnacentral:rRNA from 1 species
AUGCAGGCAAUUCCAUUGCACAAUUGGCAGAGCUCGAUGAUCAGGAGUUCAGGACCACGCUGUUCCUCUCUCCAAAGCCAAGCAAUUCCACUGGCCCAUCACGAAUCCAUCCAUCCUAAAAGCAGCGACACAACAAAGCCAAGAUCGCACGCACGUGUCCACGAUCGCCUGCUGUACCACGAUGCUAACCUAACUAAACUAACACACCUGACGACGAGACGGGGCAAAUCUUUUCCACGCGCACGCAACGCGACAGUGGGCACAGGGAACACACGCACUCGACGCGACGGAGAAGAAGAGGACGUCGCCGUUGCAGCUGGCCGACUCGGCCGUCGACGAGCGCGGCUACCGGCGCGCGGAGGAGGCGCGGGAGCUGGAGCGGGAGGAGUUGGAGCGCCAGAACCCGGCGCCGUAGAGGCGGGAGGCCAUGAUCUCGCGCUCGAACUCAGACGCCGCCUCGGCCGCCUCCUCCUCGCGCCUCGCCCCGGCCUCGGCCUCGUCCGCCUCCAGCGCGUCCGCGGCCGCGAACAUGGCCUUGGUGCUCCCGGACAGCGACGCCGACCCGCUGCCGCCGCGCCGCCGGCGCCGCCUCUGCCUGGCCCGCCGCGCGAGGUCGGCCGGCAGCCGGACCGCGACGAGCAGCACGACCUCCAGCAGCGCCAUGGGGCAGCAGCAGCACACCGCCGCGCAGUCCGCCGCCGCCUGCCCCGCCGCCUCGCCCCCGCACCCCGGCCGCGGCCCGCGCUCCCGCUCCCGCCCCGCCUCCUUCUCCUCCCCGCCUUCGCGGCCGGAGCCGGAGCCGCCCUCCCGCAUCUGCCGCUCCACCCCGGCCCCGACCCUCAACGCGCCGGCCCGGGUCGCUGGCGGCGAGAGAGACUCCACCGUGGGCGGCCGAGCGGUUGUCGGAUCGGUUAUGUAGAGGAGGGCGGUUGGUGCGGGGUGGAGGCGGCGACGAUGGCGUGGGCGUGGCGUGUAGCGGCGGGGCGAGGAGAAAAAAUCAAACCGCAAUUUUCUACUGCCUCACGCGGCCUGCAGUUAUGUCCUGCUAUUUAUCCCCUGCUGUUUUUUUCGUGGAUACUGUUUUUUUUUUCUUGGAAGGUUGUUCCCUGCUGUUUUUUUUAA